UGUGUGUGUGUGUGUAUGCGUGCACGCACACAUGCAUGAAUGUGUCUGUCUGUCUGUCUGUUUUCCUGCCCCCUGAACUUUUAUUUAAAAACCACCCAAAGCCUACUAAAGAAGGAGGUGAAGGAGGCUGAAGAUCUUAUUUAUUUUGAGCACUGAGAGCAAGCCAUUCAUUUCUCCAAUAUAGAGGAGAAAAUUUUAAUGUUUUCUACAUAUAUCAAUGCAGUUUUUCUAAAUAACUACAAUAAUAUCAAUGGAGAAAGAAGACUUACGAUGAUAUACUGAAGCCAGUUAGUCACAGACACAUGCUGUUCAAGGGUUGGAAAACUGCCCCAAUAUUCCCAUUUUUAAAAAAUAUAACCCAGCCUCUCAUUAGCUGUUAUGUUUCUCUGGCCUGUUUUAAGUAAGACCAGAUCCUUGGUACUUUCCUAGUCUCAUACUUUAUGGUUUUCUCCAAUCCCCAUACACAAUGUCCCUAAAUUUGCUUUAUCAAAUGUUUCAUUAUGAUUAGAUUCAAUUUGUACUUUUAAGGGACCACCAGGGUAAUGAUUUCAUGUUCUUAUCUCAUGGGAAGAGCCUUUCGUUUUAUACUACCACUAGUGGUGUUGACUUGAAUUUUUCAGUUUCUCUUUGAAGACAUUCACUUAUACACCGAAGCUAGACGAUUGUUCCCUGGUGUACUGGUUCCUGAGGGCGACAAACUGGGUGGCUAAACUUGGCAAACAUAUUUAUUGUUUGACAGUUCUGUUGACUAGAAGUCUUAAAUCAAGAUGCUAGUAGAGUUGUGUACCCCUAAAGGCUCUGUAAGAGGAGUAUCACUUCUUUGUCUGAUUUCUGCUGAUCUGGGAUGUUUCUUGACUUGUGGCAAUUUAAUUACAAUCUCUAGUGUUCCUCUGACUAGACAUGGGAAACUUCAUUCUGUCACCUAUUUUUGUAAAAGUCACCAGUAAAAUUGAAUUAGAGGACCAUUUUAUACCAAAAAAAAUUAUACAGAUUAGUGGUGUACCCUGAGGAUGUUUCAAUACAUGUAUACAUUGUGUAACUUUUAAAUCCAGUUAAACAAAUUUCCUCAUACACUUAGUCUCUUCUUUGUUGUGAAAAUAAUCAAAAUCCUUUCUUUCUUCUAGCUUUUUGAGAUAUGCAAUACAACUGUUGCUUGUAGACAGCCUUCUGAGCCAUAUUGCACCAGAACGUAUGACCAUAACUCUGAGUGUCCAUUCAUCAACCUUCCCCAGCUCUCCACAGACCCUCUUUCAUCAAGUUCAGAUAACCACCCUUUCACUCUCAAUUUCAACGAAAACAAGAUAAAUAUCAUGCGAAUGAGAUCAGGAUGUUACUCAUCCUUCUGUGACUGCCCUAUUUCAGUGAACAUGAUCUCCACUUCUAUACAUGUUGUAAAUGACAGAAGUCCAUUCUUAUAGUGGCUAUGUGCAUGCCACUGACAGUGUAUCCUGUGUUUUCCCCGUCCAUUUAUCUGAUGCUGAACUCUAAGUUGUUUCUACUUCUUAGCUCUUGUGAAUACUUGUCAACAGGAGAUUGUAGCUGACUCAUCAACAAGUAAAUUUCAACUCUUUGGACAAUAUCCAGUAGUAGGGUUGCUAGAACAUGAGGAAGUUCAACUGUGGUUGUUGUUAUUGAGGUUUGAGGAGUCUGUGUUCUGUGUCUACAGUGUCUCUGCUAAUUUUCACGCUGACAGUAUGCAAGGGUUCCCAUUCCUCUACACCCUGGUUAGUACUAUAGUCUGUCUUUUUGAUAAAGCUUUGCCCUACUGAGAUAAACCAGUUUCUAUCUGUGCUUUGAUUUUCAUUUUCCUAGUGACUAGUAAUAUGGAAUUUUUUUAAUAGAUCUGUUGGCAUAGUCUUCUUUCAGGAAAUAUCUAGGUUUGUGUAUUACCAUUUUUAAAAUUUAACGAUUUUGUGUUUUGCUGUUGAAUUUUUAAAAAUUACUUUAAAUAUUUUAGAUCAGAAAUAAUUGUCAGAUGUGAUAUAUUGAGCUCACACCUUGAUGUGAUGCUAUUUUGUUCCUUUAAGAAAAUAUUAUAUAUCUCCUAUGCUGUGAUGCAUUUUUACUUAAAUAUUAAUGCUGGUUGACUCGCAAGCAUGACUUCUCUCUUCCUGAGCUCUAGGGUACUUCACUGCUCAAAUAGCCACUGUGUGCAGAGAUCAACUUGACAAUAUGUAUGUUUGCAAACUGAGAAACGGGUCAUUGUGUCUAGAGAGAGAAUGGGGCCACUGAGCCAAACCAAAUUUCAGAAGAGCAGUGUGAAGAUUAUGAGGUUUAUUCUGUAUUUGGUAAGAAACCACUGAAAACCUUAGGACGUGAAGUGAGAUAAUUAGUGUGUACUUUUAGAAAAGAGAAAUUUCAAAUGAAAAAUGUCAGGUUUGUAAGAAAUAAAGCCCUUUCCUAAGUCUGAUCACUCUAAUUUACACUGUGUAAUCUUAAUUAGUUGAACUUAGGGGGUUGAGUUUUGCUGUUUUCUUUUUCCUCUAAUAUCAGUUAGAAUUAAUAUAACAUUAAUAGUUGAAUGGGUUAAUACUGAUUCUUCAGAUAUAUUUCCAUGUAUAAGAAGAAAAAGGGCAUGAGCCACAUUUUUGACAAUCCAGAAAAAUCCCAGACACUGCUGAUCAGCUUUAGUCUGAAUGAGCAGAGGACCUAAGCUGACCUAAUACAGAUCAUCCUGAUGGUAUCAGGUACCAGAGGAAAGAGACUGAUGGAGUUACUAUUCUCAGGAGCCUCGACAGAUUUUCCCCAACCAUGAGCUAGUUCCAAUGUCCCUAAAAAUGGAGAAAUAGCUAGAGAAGUAACUGGCUUGGGAGUAGCUGUGCAGCAAAUUGCAAUACCCAAGUCACUCAUAGAAAGAGAUUGUACAUCUCUCGGAUGUGAGUGCAGACCUGAGGAAUUAUAUAUAGGAAGGUAUAAUAUAUGUUCUGAAAUUAGUAAUUAUGUUUCAGAACAUAAAGGAACAUAUAUUGUUUAACCAACAAAAUAUUAUUGCAAUUUGUUAAGUAGACAAAAACAGGGUAAAUAGGUUCGAUUCUACAAUUAUAAAGCAGUUUUUACACUAAUGGGAUUGUGGUUAUUUUAUAAUUACACAUGGCAUUUAAGAGCAGAAUUCAAGGAUAGGACAAUGAAUCUAUGAUGAAGCAACAAAUAGAGCUACAGGACAAAUUAAUGUAAAAGCAUGCUAAUGACCCUGAUAUGCACUUUCAUCAUGAGGAUGAUGAAGAGCUAAUAAUAUCUGUAAAUGUUAUGGUAUACUUAUGACUAUAAAUGAUCUCAGAAUUUGGAGGUAGAGCCAAGAGGAUCACAAGUUUGAGGCAGGCAUGGGUUAUAUAGCAAGCUGAACAUUAGUCAAGGCACUGUUCCAGAAGCAAAAGU
rnacentral:lncRNA from 1 species